GACCUGACACUUUUGAAGCAUAUUGGACAGCUAUUUUGAAGAAUGUCCUGCAGUUUGGAUUUGCCUAAUGUGUUUCAAAGAACAAAUGUAACUUGUGCAUUGUUGGCCAAGAGUA
rnacentral:lncRNA from 1 species